AUGAACGCUAGCUACAGGCUUAACACAUGCAAGUCGAGGGGCAUCAGUUUGGUUUGCUUGCAAACCAAAGCUGGCGACCGGCGCACGGGUGAGUAACACGUAUCCAACCUACCUCAUACUCGGGGAUAGCCUUUCGAAAGAAAGAUUAAUAUCCGAUAGCAUAUAUUUCCCGCAUGGGUUUUAUAUUAAAGAAAUUCGGUAUGAGAUGGGGAUGCGUUCCAUUAGUUUGUUGGGGGGGUAACGGCCCACCAAGACUACGAUGGAUAGGGGUUCUGAGAGGAAGGUCCCCCACAUUGGAACUGAGACACGGUCCAAACUCCUACGGGAGGCAGCAGUGAGGAAUAUUGGUCAAUGGACGCGAGUCUGAACCAGCCAAGUAGCGUGAAGGAUGACUGCCCUAUGGGUUGUAAACUUCUUUUAUAUGGGAAUAAAGUGGUCCACGUGUGGACUUUUGUAUGUACCAUAUGAAUAAGGAUCGGCUACUCCGUGCCGCCAGCCGCGGUAAUACGGAGGAUCCGAGCGUUAUCCGGAUUUAUUGGGUUUAAAGGAGCGUAGGGGAUUGUUAAAUCAGUUGUGGAAGUUUGCGGGGUCAACCGUAGAUUGCAGUUGA
rnacentral:rRNA from 1 species